AAAAAUAUUGAGAGAGAAUUGGAAUUGAGAAAGACUAUUGCAAGAAAGAAUGCUGGGAAAGGAGAAAGAAUAACUGAAGGGAAAAAAAAUGGAGAAAGAUGAGCGAGAAAAAAAAAAGAGAGAAUUAGAGGUGAGAAAAACGUGGGAGAUCUCACGAUCUAGCUGGCGCUCUUAACGACCGUGUUUGAAUAUACUACUGAACUAUAUAUAAAGUGAGAGUGUCCUAUUACUUUAUCAAAUUAGGUUAUUGUUUAGGCUUAUAGAUUUUAGAUGGCCAGUUCGUUAGGAGGCUUAUUAGUCGUACCUAACAGAGAAAAGACCACUCUCUUGAGCUAAUGACUUGCAUUUUUCUUGAAAUGCCUCCUUAAGGGUGGAAUCCUAAUUCUCAAUAGCCUUACGCCUACAUAAUACACUAAUCCAAGUGCACUUAUAACUUUGUCUAAACAUGACACUGAGAAUGUCUCCAAUCUUCUAACCCUAUGAUUCUGGCAAUUUCUGGCAAUUUCGCGGGAAAAAUAAACAACAAAUAAACAAUUCUAAAAAAAUAAACAAUUCUGGCAAUUUCGCUGGAAAAAUUUUGUCAUAUUUAAUCUUCCCAACCCAUCGUUUCACA
rnacentral:lncRNA from 1 species